rnacentral:lncRNA from 1 species
UGCCAACUUUCAUUUAAACUAUUUAAACACACUGUAUGAUAUCGAUAUCUCCAGCUGCUUUGUUUCCCAAACAUAUUUGUAUCGUUUUUUUUUUGUUUUUGUAAUUUCUUAUUCCUUACAGUAGUCCCCAUUAUACGUUAUUCGAUCGGUGAAAACCAGUUACAAUUAUAAAAAUGUAGAAUGACGUACCACGUAUCAGUAUAUCGAAAGAUAUACAAAUCUUUGAAUUAUUUGUUUUGUAUAGUUAUGGUUUUUGACCAAAAAAAAAAAAAAAAGUAUAGUUAUUGUUAUAUAUAUUUCCGUCGGUAGUUUUGAUAAUACAAAUGGCGAACAAUAGCAAAUGGUAUUAAUAAAACUUUGAAAAUUGUAUAUUAGUUAGUAACCGAGAAUUUCC